GCCUUGCGCCCGGGUGAGGCGGCGGCCUCGAGGUUGUCCUGCUGUGCUCCGCAGUGCUCCAACGCCGCGGGGCGGCUCCGGGCGCCGCCUCAGCUUCUACAGGAGAGACGUUGUGGGUGAGACAGAGGGAACAUCAAAUGAGAAACUGGGAAGAGAUA